rnacentral:rRNA from 1 species
AUUGAACGCUGGCGGCAUGCUUUACACAUGCAAGUCGAACGGUAACAGGCCGCAAGGUGCUGACGAGUGGCGAACGGGUGAGUAAUGCAUCGGAACAUGCCCAGUCGUGGGGGAUAACUACUCGAAAGAGUAGCUAAUACCGCAUACGAUCUAUGGAUGAAAGCGGGGGACCGUAAGGCCUCGCGCGAUUGGAGCGGCCGAUGUCAGAUUAGGUAGUUGGUGGGGUAAAGGCUCACCAAGCCAACGAUCUGUAGCUGGUCUGAGAGGACGACCAGCCACACUGGGACUGAGACGCGGCCCAGACUCCUACGGGAGGCAGCAGUGGGGAAUUUUGGACAAUGGGCGCAAGCCUGAUCCAGCAAUGCCGCGUGCAGGAAGAAGGCCUUCGGGUUGUAAACUGCUUUUGUACGGAACGAAACGGCUCUGGUUAAUACCCGGGGCUAAUGACGGUACCGUAAGAAUAAGCACCGGCUAACUACGUG